AAUAGAUACCCAGGUAGUCCACGCCGUAAACGAUGAGUGCUAAGUGUUAGAGGGUUUCCGCCCUUUAGUGCUGCAGCUAACGCAUUAAGCACUCCGCCUGGGGAGUACGGUCGCAAGACUGAAACUCAAAGGAAUUGACGGGGGCCCGCACAAGCGGUGGAGCAUGUGGUUUAAUUCGAAGCAACGCGAAGAACCUUACCAGGUCUUGACAUCCCACUGACCGGUAUAGAGAUAUACCUUUCCCUUCGGGGACAGUGGUGACAGGUGGUGCAUGGUUGUCGUCAGCUCGUGUCGUGAGAUGUUGGGUUAAGUCCCGCAACGAGCGCAACCCUUGAUCUUAGUUGCCAGCAUUUAGUUGGGCACUCUAAGGUGACUGCCGGUGACAAACCGGAGGAAGGUGGGGAUGACGUCAAAUCAUCAUGCCCCUUAUGACCUGGGCUACACACGUGCUACAAUGGAUGGUACAAGGGCUGCAAGACUGCGAAGUCAAGCCAAUCCCAUAAAACCAUUCUCAGUUCGGAUUGCAGG
rnacentral:rRNA from 1 species